GACGAACGCUGGCGGCGUGCUUAACACAUGCAAGUCGAACGGAAAGGCCCUGCUUGCAGGGUGCUCGAGUGGCGAACGGGUGAGUAACACGUGGGUGAUCUGCCCCUUACUUUGGGAUAAGCCUGGGAAACUGGGUCUAAUACUGGAUAGGACCAUGCUGUAGGUGGUGUGGUGGAAAGAUUAGUUUCGGUAAGGGAUGAGCUCGCGGCCUAUCAGCUUGUUGGGGGGGUAAUGGCCUACCAAGGCGUCGACGGGUAGCCGGCCUGAGAGGGUGGACGGCCACAUUGGGACUGAGAGACGGCCCAGACACCUACGGGAGGCAGCAGUGGGGAAUAUUGCACAAUGGGCGCAAGCCUGAUGCAGAGACGCCGCGUGGGGGAUGACGGCGUUCGGGGUGUAGACUCCUGUCGGCCAUGACGAAGCCUUCGGGUGACGGUAGUGGUAGAAGAAGCAACGGCUAACUACGUG
rnacentral:rRNA from 1 species